GGUCUGCGGCAGCUAACACAUGCAGUCGAACGGUAACAGGAAGCAGCUUGCUGCUUCGCUGACGAGUGGCGGACGGGUGAGUAAUGUCUGGGAAACUGCCUGAUGGAGGGGGAUAACUACUGGAAACGGUAGCUAAUACCGCAUAACGUCGCAAGACCAAAGAGGGGGACCUUCGGGCCUCUUGCACAUCGGAUGUUGCCCAGAUGGGAUUAGCUAGUAGGUGGGGUAACGGCUCACCUAGGCGACGAUCCCUAGCUGGUCUGAAAGGAUGACCAGCCACACUGGAACUGAGACACGGUCCAGACUCCUACGGGAGGCAGCAGUGGGGAAUAUUGCACAAUGGGCGCAAGCCUGAUGCAGCCAUGCCGCGUGUAUGAAGAAGGCCUUCGGGUUGUAAAGUACUUUCAGCGGGGAGGAAGGCGACAGGGUUAAUAACCCUGUCGAUUGACGUUACCCGCAGAAGAAGCACCGGCUAACUCCGUGCCAGCAGCCGCGGUAAUACGGAGGGUGCAAGCGUUAAUCGGAAUUACUGGGCGUAAAGCGCACGCAGGCGGUCUGUCAAGUCGGAUGUGAAAUCCCCGGGCUCAACCUGGGAACUGCAUUCGAAACUGGCAGGCUAGAGUCUUGUAGAGGGGGGUAGAAUUCCAGGUGUAGCGGUGAAAUGCGUAGAGAUCUGGAGGAAUACCGGUGGCGAAGGCGGCCCCCUGGACAAAGACUGACGCUCAGGUGCGAAAGCGUGGGGAGCAAACAGGGAUUAGAUACCCUGGUAGUCCACGCCGUAAACGAUGUCGACUUGGAGGUUGUGCCCUUGAGGCGUGGCUUCCGGAGCUAACGCGUUAAGUCGACCGCCUGGGGAGUACGGCCGCAAGGUUAAAACUCAAAUGAAUUGACGGGAGGCCCGCCACAACCGAGUGGAGCAUGUGGUUUAAUUCGAUUGCAACGCGAAGAAGCCUGUACCCUACCUCUUGAUCAUCCAGAGCAACGUAGCCAGAAGAAUGCAUUGCGCUGCCUUUCCGGCCAACUCUGAAAACCAGAUAGAUGCAGUGGCUGAUCAGUUCAGCUCGUGCUUGUUUGAAAUGGUGGAGAUUAAGGUUACCCGCAACGCACCGACAAGCGCAGUAAUCCAUUAUGCAGCCAGCGGUGUAGCAGACUGGCAACGUUCAAAGCCAGAACUUGACCAGUGAAUAAACCUGGAGCUCAACGUCAGAGGGAUGACAGAUGCGAGAGUCAUGCAUGGCCCUUACGAGUAGGGCUACACACGUGCUACAAUGGCGCAUACAAAGAGAAGCGACCUCGCGAGAGCAAGCGGACCUCAUAAAGUGCGUCGUAGUCCGGAUUGGAGUCUGCAACUCGACUCCAUGAAGUCGGAAUCGCUAGUAAUCGUGGAUCAGAAUGCCACGGUGAAUACGUUCCCGGGCCUUGUACACACCGCCCGUCACACCAUGGGAGUGGGUUGCAAAAGAAGUAGGUAGCUUAACCUUCGGGAGGGCGCUUACCACUUGGAUCAGCCU
rnacentral:rRNA from 1 species